CGGGGCGUGGCGAAGUCAGGCAUCGCGCGCGGAUCGGGACCGCGAGGUCCGGGGUUCAAUUCCCCGCGCCCCGA
rnacentral:tRNA from 1 species